GACGAACGCUGGCGGCGCGCCUAACACAUGCAAGUCGAACGAAGCACCUUGAUUUGAUUCUUCGGAUGAAGAUCUUGGUGACUGAGUGGCGGACGGGUGAGUAACGCGUGGGUAACCUGCCUCAUACAGGGGGAUAACAGUUAGAAAUGACUGCUAAUACCGCAUAAGCCCACAGCUCGGCAUCGAGCAGAGGGAAAGGAGUGAUCCGCUUUGAGAUGGCCUCGCGUCCGAUUAGCUGGUUGGUGAGGUAACGGCCCACCAAGGCGACGAUCGGUAGCCGGACUGAGAGGUUGAACGGCCACAUUGGGACUGAGACACGGCCCAG
rnacentral:rRNA from 1 species